CAGGCUUGGGCUGAGUCGUAACUGCAAGGAUUUAACACCCACAAAUACUAAUUUCAAGUUUGGUGUCUUGUUCAAAGAGCCUGUGCUCUGAGAACAAAUCGAUUUUGCACCUGUUUUUUUUCCACCUGUUUUAUGUCCUUCAAGAUACGAGUAUCACAUGUGCUAUUUUUAAAACGGAGGGCACAGCAGGAGAUACUACCACUUACCUAGCAAGCUGGCCACUACAGACACAAGGCCUGUUCCAGCUCCAAUUUCAAUAACAUUUUUGUCAACCAAGUUACAAAGCUUCACAUUUGUUUCCAAAAAAUAGCACAGAACAAGAGCCUGAAAAUGAAAAAGAACAAGAAUAAACUGACAAUUGGCAAUUCUGAAAAAGAAUAAUGAAACAAUGCCUUUCGCUCCACGAGGCCACCCUUUAAUUACUAUUAAGUAACCAAGAGGAGAAAGAAACUUCAGUUUAUAUGAGCAAAAGUAUCUCUUGACACAAAAAAGAAUGGAACUGUCUCCAUCCAUUAUCAUUCCAUCUAACUGAAUCAUGGGUAACAAAGCACACAUGAAUAACUUCCAGGAUCAAAUAUCUUUUCACCUUAAGCCAACUGCUAAUAAGGUGAUUAGGAAUCCCAUGGGACGUGAGUGGAGUACUGCAGGAAAGACAAGACUCCAUCCUGGUCAGCCAACUUGCUUGCUUCCUGUGCUAACUACAGAGGAUAGGUUCUUAGCCCAAAACUAAAUCAGAAAUUCAGCGGAAUGAUGAAGGGAAGUCCCCUCUGCAUUAACAAGAAGGAAG